AAAAUUCAGGAAAACCAUGAAAUUUUAAGAAGUGACAUGAAUCAAAUAAAAAAUAAUGAAAAACAAUUUAGCAUUUGGUCAUGGUCACCGUGAUAUUAUUACGGAGUAAGUGGUGGUAGAGAAUAUCCAUAAAGGGAAGAGAAGUUGAUGACAUAAAUCCGGCGAUGGAAAUAAUCCAGUAAAAGAGAGUGAGAGAAAGAGAAAAAAAGUGAGAGAAGAUGAGAAAAUGAUAUGUUAGUAAUUUUAUUUGCCUCUCCGAUAAAGUACUGUUGCCCAUGGUCAUUUACUCUAUUCUUUUUGGUUUCAUGGCUAUUUUGUACAUAUACUCAAAUAUUAAAACGUAAUCUAUAUAUACAUUUUUGCAGCCAUUUUGUGAAAUAAAUCCUGGAGAUGGGACUUAUUUACAAUGGCUGCUACUGGCAUUUAUUAUUUAGUUUUA
rnacentral:sRNA from 1 species